rnacentral:rRNA from 1 species
UACGUAGGGUGCAAGCGUUGUCCGGAAUUAUUGGGCGUAAAGAGCUCGUAGGCGGUUUGUCGCGUCUGCUGUGAAAACUCGGGGCUCAACCCCGAGCCUGCUUUCGAUACGGGCGGACUAGAGGUAGGUAGGGGAGAACGGAAUUCCUGGUGUAGCGGUGGAAUGCGCAGAUAUCAGGAGGAACACCGGUGGCGAAGGCGGUUCUCUGGGCCUUACCUGACGCUGAGGAGCGAAAGCGUGGGGAGCGAACAGG